rnacentral:rRNA from 1 species
UAAUACGUAGGGGGCUAGCGUUGUCCGGAAUCAUUGGGCGUAAAGAGCGUGUAGGCGGUUCGAUAAGUCCGUUGUGAAAGUCCAGGGCUCAACCCUGGGAUGCCGGCGGAUACUGCCGAACUAGAGUCCGGAAGAGGCAAGUGGAAUUCCCGGUGUAGCGGUGAAAUGCGCAGAUAUCGGGAGGAACACCAACGGCGAAGGCAGCUUGCUGGGACGGUACUGACGCUGAGACGCGAAAGCGUGGGGAGCAAACAGGAUUAGAUACCCUGGUAGUCCACGCCGUAAACGAUGAACACUAGGUGUGACGGGUGUCGACUCCCGUCGUGCCGAAGCUAACGCAUUAAGUGUUCCGCCUGGGGAGUACGGCCGCAAGGCUA